AUGAACGCUGGCGGCGUGCUUAACACAUGCAAGUCGAACGGAAAGGCUCCUGCUUGCAGGGGUACUCGCGUGGCGAACGGGUGAGUAACACGUGGGUGAUCUGCCCUGCACUUCGGGAUAAGCCUGGGAAACUGGGUCUAAUACCGGAUAGGACCACAUUUUGGAUGGUGUGGUGGAAAGUUUUUCGGUGUGGGAUGAGCUCGCGGCCUAUCAGCUUGUUGGUGGGGUAAUGGCCUACCAAGGCGUCGACGGGUAGCCGGCCUGAGAGGGUGUACGGCCACAUUGGGACUGAGAUACGGCCCAGACUCCUACGGGAGGCAGCAGUGGGGAAUAUUGCACAAUGGGCGCAAGCCUGAUGCAGCGACGCCGCGUGGGGGAUGACGGCCUUCGGGUUGUAAACUCCUUUCGCUAGGGACGAAGCGCAAGUGACGGUACCUGGAGAAGAAGCACCGGCUAACUACGUG
rnacentral:rRNA from 1 species